UGGGGAAUUGUUCGCAAUGGGCGCAAGCCUGACGACGCAACGCCGCGUGGAGGAUGAAGAUUUUCGGAUCGUAAACUCCUUUCGAUCGAGACGAAUGGCCCUUGGGUGAAUAGCCUGAGGGAAUGACGGUACCGAGAGAAGAAGCCCCGGCUAACUUCGUGCCAGCAGCCGCGGUAAUACGAAGGGGGCUAGCGUUGUUCGGAAUUACUGGGCGUAAAGCGCACGUAGGCGGAUGUGCCAGUCAGGGGUGAAAUCCCGAGGCUCAACCUCGGAACUGCCUCCGAUACAGCACGUCUCGAGUCCGGAAGAGGUGAGUGGAAUUCCUAGUGUAGAGGUGAAAUUCGUAGAGAUGUGGAGGAACACCGAUGGCGAAGGCAGCCUCCUGGGCCAAUACUGACGCUCAUGCACGAAAGCGUGGGGAGCAAACAGGAUUAGAUACCCACGUAGUCCCUGAGCGGGCUGGCAAGGCGCAU
rnacentral:rRNA from 1 species